rnacentral:lncRNA from 10 species
CAGCACCUGAAGAAUGAUAGUGGCCAGCGUGGAAAUGCACAAACCACCUUGUGUAAGAUACUGCACCCUACCCGCUCCUGUAUCACCACCACCAGGACUCCUGGUACAUACUCCAGGACAGAUACAGGAGAGUUGAGUCGUCCUGUUCCUGGCAUUCCUAUCUGGGCUACACUACCUACCCCAUCGCCAGAGAAAGGGUCUCACCAUGUCGUCCAGGCUGCAGUGCAGUGGCAUCUGGCUCACAAGCAGCCUUUACCUCCAGGGUUAGGUGAGUCUCCCAUCUCAGCCUCCCAAGCAGCUGAGACCACAAGCAUGAGCUACCAUGCCCAGCUCAUUUUUGUAUUUUUUGUAGAGACCGGGGUCUCACUGUGUCAUACAGGCUUGUCUGGAACUCCUGGGAUCAAGCGAACCUCCCACCUCUGCCUCCCAAAGUGUUGCGAUUAAAGGCGUGAGCCACCGUACCCAGACUCAUCCACUUUGUUAUUCAACAGAUAGUGAAUCCUCCUCUGUGCAAGUCCUGGAAUUAUGGUUUCAGGAUUCAUUGGCACAACAGUUGGCAACUGAAAUUAUGGGUAUAGACAGGUCAUCUAGGAAAAAAGUGUGUAAAAUGAG